rnacentral:rRNA from 1 species
UACGUAGGGUGCGAGCGUUGUCCGGAAUUAUUGGGCGUAAAGAGCUUGUAGGCGGUUUGUCGCGUCUGCUGUGAAAAUCCGGGGCUCAACCCCGGACUUGCAGUGGGUACGGGCAGACUAGAGUGUGGUAGGGGAGACUGGAAUUCCUGGUGUAGCGGUGAAAUGCGUAGAUAUCUGGAGGAACACCGGUGGCGAAGGCGGCAUCCUGGACCGGCAUUGACGCUGAGGCGCGAAAGCCAGGGGAGCAAACGGG